ACGAACGUUGGCGGCGUGCCUAAUACAUGCAAGUCGAGCGAGAAAUGGGGGGCAACUCCCAGAGUACAGCGGCGAAAGGGUGCGUACUACAUGAAGAACGUACCCUCUGGUUAGGGAUAACCCCGCGAAAGCGGGGCUAAUACCAAAUUCUGCCGCGGUGACACCUGUCGCUGCGGUGAAAGUCGCAAGACGCCGGAGGAGCGCUUCAUGGCCUAUCAGCUAGUUGGUGGGGUAACGGCCCACCAAGGCUAUGACGGGUAGCCGGACUGAGAGGUCGACCGGCCACACGGGGACUGAGACACGGCCCCGACAUCUACGGAUGGCAGCAGUAGGGAAUAUUGCGCAAUGGGCGAAAGCCUGACGCAGCGACGCCGCGUGGGGGAUGAAGGCCUUCGGGUUGUAAACCCCUUUCAUGUGGGAAGAAUACUGACUUAACCACAGGAAGAAGCACCGGCUAACUCCGU
rnacentral:rRNA from 1 species